rnacentral:lncRNA from 1 species
UGUAAGUGUUGGAGUAGGGGUCAUUACGUUGCUGAUUUGGUCCUUGAUAACCCAUGGCAUGGGCUGUUUCCCAUCCUCCAUUUUCAAUCAAUUGGGGGCAUUAGUCAUUGAGAUGUCCUUGCAUCGAACACACUCCACAUAUGGCUGCAUUUUGUGUUUUAGAUCCAUCCACAACCUGUGACACAAGGGUAGUGAGGUUAGCUAAUUGAGAUUGAAUUUCAGAAAUUGCACUUACCUCAUUAACUUGGGGUUGUUGCCGUGGGG